rnacentral:rRNA from 3 species
AGAGUUUGAUCCUGGCUCAGGAUGAACGCUGGCGGCGUGCUUAACACAUGCAAGUCGAACGAACCUUCGGGUUAGUGGCGGACGGGUGAGUAACGCGUGGGAAUCUGCCCUCAGGAGGGGGAUAACGGUUGGAAACGACCGCUAAUACCCCAUAUGCCGAGAGGUGAAAUGAAUUUCGCCUGAGGAUGAGCCCGCGUCUGAUUAGCUUGUUGGUGAGGUAAUGGCUCACCAAGGCUUCGAUCAGUAGCUGGUCUGAGAGGAUGAUCAGCCACACUGGGACUGAGACACGGCCCAGACUCCUACGGGAGGCAGCAGUGGGGAAUUUUCCGCAAUGGGCGAAAGCCUGACGGAGCAACGCCGCGUGAGGGACGAAGGCCUCUGGGCUGUAAACCUCUUUUCUCAAGGAAGAAGAUAUGACGGUACUUGAGGAAUAAGCCACGGCUAAUUCCGUGCCAGCAGCCGCGGUAAUACGGGAGUGGCAAGCGUUAUCCGGAAUUAUUGGGCGUAAAGCGUCCGCAGGCGGCCUUUCAAGUCUGCUGUUAAAGCGUGGAGCUUAACUCCAUCAUGGCAGUGGAAACUGAUAGGCUUGAGUAUGGUAGGGGCAGAGGGAAUUCCCGGUGUAGCGGUGAAAUGCGUAGAUAUCGGGAAGAACACCAGUGGCGAAGGCGCUCUGCUGGGCCAUAACUGACGCUCAUGGACGAAAGCCAGGGGAGCGAAAGGGAUUAGAUACCCCUGUAGUCCUGGCCGUAAACGAUGAACACUAGGUGUCGGGGGAAUCGACCCCUUCGGUGUCGUAGCUAACGCGUUAAGUGUUCCGCCUGGGGAGUACGCACGCAAGUGUGAAACUCAAAGGAAUUGACGGGGGCCCGCACAAGCGGUGGAGUAUGUGGUUUAAUUCGAUGCAACGCGAAGAACCUUACCAGGGUUUGACAUCCUGCGAACCUUUAAGAAAUUAGAGGGUGCCUUCGGGAACGCAGUGACAGGUGGUGCAUGGCUGUCGUCAGCUCGUGUCGUGAGAUGUUGGGUUAAGUCCCGCAACGAGCGCAACCCACGUUUUUAGUUGCCAGCAUUUAGUUGGGCACUCUAGAAAGACCGCCGGUGAUAAACCGGAGGAAGGUGUGGAUGACGUCAAGUCAUCAUGCCCCUUACAUCCUGGGCUACACACGUACUACAAUGCUACGGACAAAGGGCAGCAAACUCGCGAGAGCUAGCAAAUCCCAUAAACCGUGGCUCAGUUCAGAUCGUAGGCUGCAACUCGCCUACGUGAAGUAGGAAUCGCUAGUAAUCGCAGGUCAGCAUACUGCGGUGAAUACGUUCCCGGGCCUUGUACACACCGCCCGUCACACCAUGGAAGUUGGCCACGCCCGAAGUCGUUACUUUAACCCUUGUGGAGAAGGACGCCGAAGGUGGGGCUGAUGACUGGGGUGAAGUCGUAACAAGGUAGCCGUACCGGAAGGUGCGGCUG